rnacentral:rRNA from 1 species
UACGUAGGGUGCAAGCGUUGUCCGGAAUUACUGGGCGUAAAGAGCUCGUAGGCGGCUUGGUAAGUCAGGUGUGAAAUCUCCACGCUCAACGUGGAGGGGCCACCCGAAACUGCCAUGGCUUGAGUCCGGUAGGGGAGUGUGGAAUUCCCGGUGUAGCGGUGAAAUGCGCAGAUAUCGGGAGGAACACCCGUAGCGAAGGCGGCACUCUGGGCCGGUACUGACGCUGAGGAGCGAAAGCGUGGGGAGCAAACAGG